AGCGAACGCUGGCGGCAGGCCUAACACAUGCAAGUCGAACGGACCUUUCGGGGUUAGUGGCGGACGGGUGAGUAACACGUGGGAACGUGCCUUUAGGUUCGGAAUAGCUCCUGGAAACGGGUGGUAAUGCCGAAUGUGCCCUUAGGGGGAAAGAUUUAUCGCCUUUAGAGCGGCCCGCGUCUGAUUAGCUAGUUGGUGAGGUAAUGGUUCACCAAGGCUACGAUCAGUAGCUGGUCUGAGAGGAUGACCAGCCACAUUGGGACUGAGACACGGCCCAAACUCCUACGGGAGGCAGCAGUGGGGAAUCUUGCGCAAUGGGCGAAAGCCUGACGCAGCCAUGCCGCGUGGAUGAUGAAGGUCUUAGGAUUGUAAAAUCCUUUCACCGGUGAAGAUAAUGACUGUAGCCGGAGAAGAAGCCCCGGCUAACCUCGUGCCAGCAGCCGCCGUAA
rnacentral:rRNA from 1 species